GUAAAUUAUAACAUUUUGAGUUGAUUUGUGCAUCUAUUGUUAUAAAAACGUAAGAUAUACGAUUUCAUUGUCAAUUUAUUUUUAUGUUGGCUCCACUCUGUAUUUAUUUGACACGGCUGGUAGGUCAAUGGAUGACGACAUUUUAGGUCUGUAAAAUGCUGCAACCAAUACAGUGAUAAUAACACACAUAUAUAGAGACAAUAGAACUCAAUAGUAUCACGAUUAUCAAGGAGGAAUUUGUUUUGUUAGACUCUGAAAAAGAAAAUGUUCAACGUAAUUAAGUGGAAAGAUAUCAGCAAGUUAAAUGCUUUGACCGAGCUGCA
rnacentral:lncRNA from 1 species